rnacentral:rRNA from 1 species
UUCUUUAUGAAUUUUAUAUAAAGUAAUUUCUGCCCAAUGAAUAAUUUUAUUUAAAUGGCUGCAGUAUAUUGACUGUACAAAGGUAGCAUAGUAAUUAGUUUUUUAAUUGGGAACUUGUAUGAAAGGAUACAUGAGAAAUUUUCUUUAUUAAUUUUAAAAUUAAAAUUUUAUUUUUUGGUAAAAAAGCUAAAUUGUUUUUUAGGGACGAUAAGACCCUAUAGAAUUUAAAAUUUAUUUUAAUUAAAAUGUUUUUUAGAUUAAAUUUAUUUUUUUUAAUUUAAAUUUUUAAUUGGGGUGAUUAAUAAACUUAUAUCUUUUUUAUAUAAAUUCAUAUAUAUAUGUUUUUUUUGAUCCUUAAAUUUAAGAUUGUAAGAUAAAUUACCUUAGGGAUAACAGCGUAAUUUUAAUGUAAAGUUCAUAUUUAAAUUAAAGUUUGCGACCUCGAUGUUGAAUUAAGAGUAAUUUAUGGUGUAGAUGCUAUGAUUUUAAGUCUGUUCGACUUUUAUAAUCUUACA